rnacentral:rRNA from 1 species
UUCUUAAAGAAUUAAUUUUAAGUUUAAUCUGCUCAAUGAAAUAAAUAGCCGCAAUAUAUUUGUGCUAAGGUAGCAUAAUCACUUGCCUUUUAAUUAAAGGAUAGAAUGAAAGAUUUAACAUUUAAAUUUCUUUUUAAAAAUUAUAUUUUAAAUUUAUAUUAAAUAUUAAAAUAUAUUUAUUAUUAAAAAAGACGAUAAGACCCUAUUGAACUUUACUUUAGUUUAGUUGGGGAAACUAAUUAAUAAAUAUUUUAAUAUAAAUAUUUUAUAAUUUAUCUAAUAUUAUUAAAUUUUUAAUUAAGUUACCAUAGGGAUAACAGCGCAAUUAAUUUUUAAAGUUCUUAUUUAAAAAAUAGUUUACGACCUCGAUGUUGAAUUAUAAUUUCUAUAAAAUGCAAUAAUUUUAAAAGAAAGUCUGUUCGACUAAUAAAAUUAUACA